GAAAUGCGAUAAGUAAUGUGAAUUGCAGAAUUCAGUGAAUCAUCGAAUCUUUGAACGCACAUUGCGCCCGCCAGCACUCUGGCGGGCAUGCCUGUUCGAGCGUCAUUUCAACCCUCAGAACCCCUUGCGGGAUCUGGCGUUGGGGAUUGGCAUCCAGCCAGCCCCGAAAUCUAGUGGCGGUCCCUCCGCGACCUCCCCUGUGCAGUAGCGAUACCUCGCAGCGGGACAGCGGUCUGACCACGCCGUAAAACCCCCAACUUCUCAAGGUUGACCUCGAAUCAGGUAGGAAUACCCGCUAAACAUAAGC
rnacentral:misc_RNA from 1 species